UUCUAAGGGCGUUGAAGCAUGAUCGCAAGGACAUGUGGAGCGCUUAGAAGUGAGAAUGCCGGUGUGAGUAGCGAAAGACGGGUGAGAAUCCCGUCCACCGAUUGACUAAGGUUUCCAGAGGAAGGCUCGUCCGCUCUGGGUUAGUCGGGUCCUAAGCUGAGGCCGACAGGCGUAGGCGAUGGAUAACAGGUUGAUAUUCCUGUACCACCAUUAUUCGUUUUAAGCGAUGGGGGGACGCAGUAGGAUAGGCGAAGCGUGCUGUUGGAGUGCACGUCCAAGCAGUGAGAUUGAGUGUUAGGCAAAUCCGGCACUCUUAAGAUUGAGCUGUGAUGGGGAGAGGAACUUGUUCCUCGAGUCGUUGAUUUCACACUGCCGAGAAAAGCCUCUAGCUAGAAUAACGGUGCCCGUACCGCAAACCGACACAGGUAGUCAAGAUGAGAAUUCUAAGGUGAGCGAGCGAACUCUCGUUAAGGAACUCGGCAAAAUGACCCCGUAACUUCGGGAGAAGGGGUGCUCUUUGAGGUUCACGCUUCGAAGAGCCGCAGUGAAUAGGCCCAAGCGACUGUUUAUCAAAAACACAGGUCUCUGCUAAACCGUAAGGUGACGUAUAGGGGCUGACGCCUGCCCGGUGCUGGAAGGUUAAGAGGAGUGGUUAGCGCAAGCGAAGCUACGAAUCGAAGCCCCAGUAAACGGCGGCCGUAACUAUAACGGUCCUAAGGUAGCGAAAUUCCUUGUCGGGUAAGUUCCGACCCGCACGAAAGGCGUAACGAUUUGGGCACUGUCUCAACGAGAGACUCGGUGAAAUCAUAGUACCGGUGAAGAUGCCGGUUACCCGCGACAGGACGGAAAGACCCCGUGGAGCUUUACUGUAGCCUGAUAUUGAAAUUCGGUACAGUUUGUACAGGAUAGGUAGGAGCCUUAGAAGCGUGAGCGCUAGCUUACGUGGAGGCAUUGGUGGGAUACUACCCUAAUUGUAUUGGAUUUCUAACCCGCAGCACUUAUCGUGCUGGGAGACAGUGUCAGGCGGGCAGUUUGACUGGGGCGGUCGCCUCCUAAAGAGUAACGGAGGCGCUCAAAGGUUCCCUCAGAAUGGUUGGAAAUCAUUCAUAGAGUGUAAAGGCAUAAGGGAGCUUGACUGCGAGACCUACAAGUCGAGCAGGGUCGAAAGACGGACUUAGUGAUCCGGUGGUUCCGCAUGGAAGGGCCAUCGCUCAACGGAUAAAAGCUACCCCGGGGAUAACAGGCUUAUCUCCCCCAAGAGUUCACAUCGACGGGGAGGUUUGGCACCUCGAUGUCGGCUCAUCGCAUCCUGGGGCUGUAGUCGGUCCCAAGGGUUGGGCUGUUCGCCCAUUAAAGCGGUACGCGAGCUGGGUUCAGAACGUCGUGAGACAGUUCGGUCCCUAUCCGUCGUGGGCGUAGGAAAUUUGAGAGGAGCUGUCCUUAGUACGAGAGGACCGGGAUGGACAUACCUCUGGUGUACCAGUUGUCGUGCCAACGGCAUAGCUGGGUAGCUAUGUAUGGACGGGAUAAGUGCUGAAAGCAUCUAAGCAUGAAGCCCCCCUCGAGAUGAGAUUUCCCAACUUCGGUUAUAAGAUCCCUCAAAGAUGAUGAGGUGAAUAGGUUCGAGGUGGAAGCGUAGCGAUACGUGGAGCUGACGAAUA
rnacentral:rRNA from 1 species